GACGGAAAACAUGGGCUAUGGCCGCGUCAAAGACACUCUCCCCUCAGCCACAUCUCCUCUCCCCCCUCCCAUGACCUAUGGUUAGCCACCGCCGCCGACGACCUUAUCGGUGAGCUCUGGCGGCCAUGGCCGACGCGCGGGAGGCUACUGAGCUCACGUAGCAAUGUUGUGUUGAUCCCUCCACCCAGAUCCGUCCAUCCUUGCAUGUAAUGCUCGCGCCCAAUCAACCCCCCGCAGUUAGGGUUGGGGUGCGACCUCGUCUCCGCCACCUGUGUGCCUGUGGCGAGGUCCAGCGGCCAUGGCCGGUGCGCAGGAUGCUGCCGAGCUCACCUCGUCAUGCUGCGUUGAUCUCUCCGGCCAGUUCCGUUCCUCCAUGCCUCCAACGCUCGCACACAAUCCAUCCAUGGUUAGGGUUUGGGGGGUAUCAAUUUGAUCCAUUCCCUGACCAGAGAAAAUGAGCAAAAGCGGAUGAGGAAGGAGGAGAAGGUGUAGAAGGAGGAGAAAGACGAGAAGAAGGCAAGGGAGGUGGGGCGAUCUGCAUGUCUAUGGAGGACAGAGCCACCUCGUGAUUCUUCUUCCACUCCAACAACUCCGACCGUUCUUCUUCCUCUCGGGCAUAUCUGGACAACUCGACCUAGAUGGUGCAUCGUGGAAUUCUAUUUGUUCGAAGGAGCAACAUAUUUCGCUCGGGCAUGUUCAACAUGAAUGACAUCAUUGGAGCUUGCUCCAGUCUACGAUGACAACGGCGGCGAGUCGACAACGAAGGCCAUAGUGGCCCAAUGGACUCUGUGGCAAACCCUAGCCGCUUCGUGUCAUCGGUGCAUCUCCUCCUCAUUUCCUCUGCCGCGUGGCUCAUAUGUGGCCUGGUUCCCAUGCACGAACGCCACCCCAGCGACCAUCCUCCCAUAGGAGAGCAUAUCUAUAGAAGAUAAAAAACUCGAUGGAAAUCAUGGUCAUUACAGGCCCAAUGAACUUGUUACGCUCCAGGUGCACCUGGAGUUGGUUGUGCAAAGCUUGUUUUUGGUAGGAGGUGUUGCAUACUCUAUUUAGAGGAUUCUAAAGGAAAUGGUUGAUCUUGUUGCACAAUCCAUCAGAUAAAAUUAUACAAGCAAUGAGUGUACCACUCAAAGAUGGAGACAUGGAGUAGGAGGACGAGCAACAGCCACAAAUAAGCCUGAUGAUGGCGGGGUGCGGGAGGCAAUGGUAAUGAUGCUUACGGCAUGACCAACAGAGGCGGCGCGCAGACAACAACCUGGACCACCAGCCUCCCUUGCCUUUUUUGUUUUGGUUGUGGUUGUUGCAUCACCGACGACAUCGCGAAUCAUUAUGUAGGGUGCUUGUGGAUUUGGGGUAUGUACUACAAUAUCCAUGCAGUAGGUUAGGUCGUAUUGUUGCUAGGCUCAUGUGAGUUUUGCGUAACGUGGAUGCCAACCUUUGUGAUCUUAUUUUUUACACUUGUUAUAUUGAUGUGUUAUGGUGUGUGCUAUAUGUAUAUAUGUAUGGAUGUGUUAUGGACUA